AGUGAACGCUGGCGGUAGGCCUAACGCAUGCAAGUCGAACGGCAGCACAGUAAGAGCUUGCUCUUACGGGUGGCGAGUGGCGGACGGGUGAGGAAUACAUCGGAAUCUACUUUUUCGUGGGGGAUAACGUAGGGAAACUUACGCUAAUACCGCAUACGACCUACGGGUGAAAGCAGGGGAUCUUCGGACCUUGCGCGAUUGAAUGAGCCGAUGUCGGAUUAGCUAGUUGGCGGGGUAAAGGCCCACCAAGGCGACGAUCCGUAGCUGGUCUGAGAGGAUGAUCAGCCACACUGGAACUGAGACACGGUCCAGACUCCUACGGGAGGCAGCAGUGGGGAAUAUUGGACAAUGGGCGCAAGCCUGAUCCAGCCAUACCGCGUGGGUGAAGAAGGCCUUCGGGUUGUAAAGCCCUUUUGUUGGGAAAGAAAAGCAGUAGGUUAAUACCCCGCUGUUCUGACGGUACCCAAAGAAUAAGCACCGGCUAACUUCGUG
rnacentral:rRNA from 1 species